rnacentral:rRNA from 1 species
AAUGCUAAGAGAAUGGAAAUUCAGAAAAAAACUUUCUUUAAAUUAAAAAUUGAAGUUUUUUUAAUUUGUGCAGAAACAAUUAUUAAUAUUAAGGACAAGAAGACCCUAUGAAUUUAUUAAAUUUUAUUUAAUAUGUAAUUACUAUCAAUAAAAUUUUGGCUGGGGCGGUUAAAAAAUAUUUCAAACUUUUUAAAAAUAAAAUGAUCCAUUAUUAAUGACUUUAUGUUAAAUACUCUAGGGAUAACAGCG